rnacentral:rRNA from 1 species
UACGGAAGGGGCAAACGUUGUUCGGAUUCACUGGGCGUAAAGCGACCGCAGGCGGUUUAUUAAGUCAGAUGUGAAAGCCCCGCGCUCAACGUGGGAACUGCAUUUGAAACUGGUAAACUAGAGUUCGAGAGAGGAAAAUGGAAUUCCAAGUGUAGAGGUGAAAUUCGUAGAUAUUUGGAGGAACAUCAGAGGCGAAGGCGAUUUUCUGGCUCGAUACUGACGCUGAGGUGCGAAAGUGUGGGGAGCAAACAGG